CCGACCUGUGAUGUAAUUGGUCCAUUUAAACAGAACCCCUUCCAUAGCUGGCCUGAGACCGCGGACUGUCUUAGCAUCCUCUCCCGGGCUCGGCGCUCCGUGACGGGCACGCUCGGCCGGCUACACUCCCGGGGCUGGGGAGGCCGGGCUGUUCAUGACUGGGCCGGGGGAUACUGGAGCGCCCAGCCCGGACACAGCACGUCCUGGUCCCAUCCGCCGCUGGCUCUGUCUCUAUCCGGCUCGCUGGAUCUUCCUCCUGCUAACACUUCCCGUGCACUCCGCGCGGCCCCG